GCGGGCGUAGUUUAAUGGUAGAACAUGAGCUUCCCAAGCUCAGAGCGCGAGUUCGAUUCUCGUCGCCCGCUCCG
rnacentral:tRNA from 1 species